rnacentral:lncRNA from 1 species
AGGAUUGAUAGAGCUUCGAAGAGUACAAAUGGAGAUAAGAUCUCUCCAAUCUAGUCUCUGGAUUGGUAGAGCCCCGAGAGACACAAACGGAGAUAAGAUCUCCCAAAUACUGAUCUACAGAUCCUUAUUAUCUUUUAGCUCAUAUAAAUACCGAUCUCAGAGUCGAAGUUAUUUUGAUUUUCAAAUACAAAUCUCAGGAUCAAAGUUAUCUUGAAAUUCUAUUAUUGAUCUCUAGAUCUAAGUUAUCUUGGAAUUCUAUUAUCGCUCCAGAUCGAGACUAUUUUGAAGUUCUAUUAGAUACCGAUCUCCAGAUUGAGGAUAUCUUCUGAUAUACUCAAAGUUACGAGCAAUUCAUUUGAAAAACCAAAUGGUUCCAAUUUGUCACCUCGAAUAAGCUGAGAAUUUAUUUCUUGAUCUACUUCUUUUGUUCAAUACAAAUUUUUGGGACUCAAAAGUGGAGGGCAAGUAUUGUGGGGGUUAUCCCACCUCAGCUCAGAAGAAAGUCGAUCUGAAUUGAAGGCUGGGUUCAUAUAAAAUUGAUCUGAAUUGGAGGCUGAAUUCAUAUAAAACUAAUCUGAAUUGAAAGCUGAAUACCGACCUGACUCAUCUCAGCUCAUAUAAAUACUGACCUGAAGCAG